AUGGAAUGGAAGGACCUUCAGCUUGUGUGUGUGUCCUUAUCCCUUGGCUUCAACUCAUAAUUGGCUAAUACGUUCUUGAUUCAAAGAUUCUGUCUGAUGAGAUAGACAUAUUCAAUUCAUGCGGGCAGGGCAGUCCGCAUGUUGAACGCACCAUUUGGUUGAAGGUGUAAUCCAUUGUUUUCUCUAGAUAUUUGUUGAGUUGAGUUUGAAUCAUAUGAGAAACUGGCCAGCCAACAGUUCAGGGGAGCACCGACCAGCAGGCAGUCAGGCAGGAAGGCUAGCUAGUCGAGGACUGGAGGAGUCACCACACAUCCGGGCUCCGGCCUUCUCAACGUCUUGAGGCCUGAGGGAAGGAAGAAAUUAAACCAACUUCAACUAAUGGAUGGGUGCAUCUUUCUGUACGCAGGAGUACGUUGGGAACUCGCGGGGGAUGAGGCUCUUCACCCCGCAGAUGGGUGCCCAAGAAAUCAAUCAAAGCUCUCGUCUUCCUGUGCCAUGGUGAUGAAUGCGACUUAACGGUCAACGGCGGGAUGAUCGAGGCCAAGCGGGGUGCUUGGUGCCAGACGAUUAAAGAGACUAGACGAAGUCAAGGGUGAUGCUAGUUGUGCAUAUUGAGAUCAAGCAAAGCAUGAGAAGAUGGAUGAAGACGACUUGUUGACAAAGUCAAACGAAGGGAUGUCGGUGAAGAUGACAAGACGGCACGAGGGUUCGGAAGCGGGAGAGACUUGCUGGCGGUCAAAAUCGCAAGAUGGAGUACACAUGUCGACAUCGGGAUGCUUGCUUGAGGUGAAAGCAAGUGGCAAUGAGUCACGUUUUGAGAAACAUGCGAUGCAGUUUCGCGAUUUAGCCUCAAAAUUGUGUAAGGAUGUAGUGCACGUGGUAUCAUCGUGAAACUUGCGUCGAGGCAGAGCUAAGUCGUGAAGACGCUACGGUCGUUCGAUGGAUAGAGGAGAAAAUGGACCAAAAUACCCUCGGUGGUAGGUAGGAGUGUACUAUAAAAGAGUGAUAUUUUGGAAAACAGAAAACUUGGCAUUCAAGAAAGCUCUCAAGGUAUAUAAAUAGAGAGGUAGAGCUGUUGGGAGAAGGUGAGUCAGCCAUUUGAGUUUGAGUGCUAGGAUUUUAGAGGAGAGGGAUAUGGUAGCUUAGCCUAUGUAUUAUGUGAGAGCUUUUUUGAGCAAAAUACUUUGUAAUUUGUC